rnacentral:lncRNA from 1 species
UAUUUAUUUUCUUUGUAAUGAAAAAAAAUAAAAUAUAUAUAUAUUGUAUAUAGUCUUCUGUAUAUAAAAAAAAUAUAUAAAAGAGAGAUUGUGUGUGUAUAGAUGUCCUUUAUACGAUCCCACACCAUAGAACCUAGGAGGCUGGAAUUUUGCAUGAGUCCCUCUUUAGAGCUUGAACAGGCUAAGACGGGGUGUCAAUUUUUGGGGAGGUCAUAUAAGGUAUGGGAACUAUCGACAACUGGACGUGUUGUACAGCACAAAUUUGCAAAAAUGGUUGAGACACUAGUUACCGGAGUUAAGUUCAUGAGCCCAAUUGGAUCUUCCUUCGCAAUAUCCAGCUACAAUACAAAUAUAAUCCAAAUAUACGAUAGACAAUAGUAAACUUAAAAAAAUACAAUUAUGAUGCUGUAAUUCAGAGCAGGAACAUUUACAAUGUUUAAAUAAAAAAAAAAAAAAAAAAAAAAAGAAUGAAAAUGUAUAUUCAUAGGGUUUAUUAAGUAAAUGUAUAUAUGUAGUAAUAUAAUGCAUCAGGAUUCAGUUAUACUCUUCACUCGAAAUAUCUGAAAUAAAUUAUGUAUAAUUGAUAAA